CUCACACUUCUUGGUGCUUUAAUCUUUCUUUCACUUUGCCAUAAAUUGUGUCAUGUUACACUCAUCUUACCACAUACGUAUUUCACUGGUGCAUAACUUUGUUGUACUUUAUUUUUAAUCCUAUUGUGUAAGCAAAUACUUUCUUUGUAGGAAUUAAAAAAAAUCCCAAGGAAAACUAAAUAACUAAAAGAUUGUAGAGUUAAAUGUCUAAUAUAAAAGGAAAAAACCCAAAUGGAGAGAAAUCUUCGACGUCGUACUGCUUAUGGAGAAAUACCAUUUGAACAAAAAACAGUACUUCUCGAACGACGAAGAGUAUAAUAUGCUGCCAAAAAGCAAACUGCCUUGGAAAAUCCUGCUGCUACGACUUCUAAGGAGUCAUCUUCUUCUUUAGAGCCCUGCAACAUCAUUCUUCCUCAACAUACUCUAUACAUGAGGGAUAAACCUAUUGCUUUUAGAAAUGGACACACUAUAACGCAAAUAGGUUGCUGGAAUAUUCACCAACUACCCUGCUCUCCUACUCUUCUAAAAAAUGUUCCAAACUGUAAAUUUUGUGCAGCCAAAAGAUUUCAAUACGAAACUCCAACCUUCUGGUGUAACAACGGUUCUAUAAAAUUAGCUUCCCAUCAACUACCUCCUGUAUUAAGACAUCUUUAUUAUGACGACUCUGAUGAAGCCAAACAUUUUCGGACUUACAUUAGAACAUACAAUAAUAUGUUUGCCUUUACUUCA